GUUUCAGAGGGAUACUAGCAGACUCUCUGCGGGACACAUACAAUCUGAUCAAGUUCAGAGACGCACUGAGUGCUUCAAGCGGCGCUUUUUAACCGGCGAGCCUUUCACAUGCCCCCCCCCAUCCGCAACCCCCCACACCCACAUACACCCACAAUCUGUCCCAGGAAGGAACUCCUCACAUUCUUUAUUUUUUAAGGGAGCUCGCUCUUUACAAACCUCCCCCCAAAAAGUCUUUCAAAUCAGCACCUUCAUUUCUCGUCGUGCCCUCAUCCCAUCAUCAUCCAUCCUUCCACUCUCCACAACUUUUCCCUACACCCCUCUUACACAGUACAUACUGGAGAGGGAUGAGAAGGAGCCGGAGGGAGAGGAAAUAAAGGUCCGACGAGUCUUGGCAAGGAGACGAUGGAGGCUGAGACAGAUGGCAUGAAGUCUGCGGCACUCUGGCGUGGCUCGCCUGGUGCUAAAAUCCUGCUCUCUCACAUUCCAACAAAUCCUACCAGGAGGCUGGGGAGUCUGUCACACCACUCCGAUGGAUCCACACCGCCCCCCCGGCCCCUUUCCCUUCCAGCACCCCACCUACAUCCCCACGUACUAUUUUACCCCGACUGGUUUGUGCGUGUGUGUGUGUGUAUACAUGAACAGAUAUAGAAAUGGGAUCCAGCAGGGGUUGGAGAUCAGCAGGGACUCAUGUCAACCCCCUAACGGGAAAUGGGGGAGCUUAGUUGAGCGUGAUGACCUUUUAGCAUUUUGGAAAAACUGGGACAAAUCAUGGAUGGGACAGUUCUGUCCAAGGAAAGAAGGCAUAAGAAGCUUUUUUUUUUCUUUUGCUUGGACAAUCUCAAGCCUAACAAACCAGAGCCAUUUUCCAAGACUCCCCGUGGGCCUCGAAAUCUAAAGUGGACAGUAAGUGUAACUGUGAUUACACUUUGUAGCACAAAACCAACAACUGGAUCACGAGCUCGGCAUGACAUCUCCAAAUAUCACACUGUUUUUUUUCUUCUUUUUUUACAGUCUCAAAGAGCUUCCUCCAAUAAGAACAAUCUCAUUUGUUUUAUACUCUCGUCUCUCCCUCUCCCUUUCUUCGUCUCACUCCCCACGCUGUCUUUCCGCUGCCCGCCUUCUGUUUGUUCUAAUGAAUGACUUUGGAAAUGAGGUGCCGCUGUGAGGAGGUCACAUGGGGCCUCAGCAUCACAUUACUGUUAAUGAUAAUAAAAAGAACAAUCUGUGCUAAAGCUUUGGGAUGACUUUUUUUUGGUCGUUCCCUCUUCACUUCACAUAUGGAGGGAAUAUUUUUAUCUGAAUUGAUGUUGACGCAAUUAAAAUGCACCAUAAAUAUGA